rnacentral:rRNA from 1 species
GAUGAACGCUGGCGGCGUGCCUAAUACAUGCAAGUCGAGCGAACAGACGAGGAGCUUGCUCCUCUGACGUUAGCGGCGAACGGGUGAGUAACACGUGGAUAACCUACCUCUAAGACUGGGAUAACCUCGGGAAACCGGAGCUAAUACCGGAUAAUAUAUGGAACCGCAUGGUCCACUAGUGAAAGACAGUUUUGCUGUCAAUUAUAGAUGGAUCCGCCCCGCAUUAGCUAGUUGGUCAGGUAACGGCUUCCCAAGGCAGCGAUGCGUAGCCGACCUGAGAGGCUGGUCGCCCGCACUGGAACGGGGACACGGACCAGGCUCCUACGGGACGCAGCAGUAGGGAAUCGGACGCAAUGGGCGAAAGCCUGACGGAGCAACGCCGCGUGAGAGAUAAAGACCUUGGGAGAGUAAAGCCCGGUUAUUGGGGAUGAACAAAUGUGUGCAUAGAUGAGGACGUAUUGACGGUACCUAAACAGAAAGCCACGGCUAACUACGUG